AGCAACGCCGCGUGAGCGAAGAAGGUCUUCGGAUCGUAAAGCUCUGUUGUUAGGGAAGAACAAGUACCGUUCAAAUAGGGCGGUACCUUGACGGUACCUAACCAGAAAGCCACGGCUAACUACGUGCCAGCAGCCGCGGUAAUACGUAGGUGGCAAGCGUUAUCCGGAAUUAUUGGGCGUAAAGCGCGCGCAGGCGGUCCUUUAAGUCUGAUGUGAAAGCCCACGGCUCAACCGUGGAGGGUCAUUGGAAACUGGGGGACUUGAGUGCAGAAGAGGAGAGCGGAAUUCCACGUGUAGCGGUGAAAUGCGUAGAGAUGUGGAGGAACACCAGUGGCGAAGGCGGCUCUCUGGUCUGUAACUGACGCUGAGGCGCGAAAGCGUGGGGAGCGAACAGGAUUAGAUACCCUGGUAGUCCACGCCGUAAACGAUGAGUGCUAAGUGUUAGAGGGUUUCCGCCCUUUAGUGCUGCAGCAAACGC
rnacentral:rRNA from 2 species